GUGUUUGCUCCAGCAGCACAUACACUAAAAUUGGAAUGAUACAGAGAAAACUGGCAUGGCCCCAACACAAGGAUGAUGCACAAAUUUGUAAAGCUUUCCAUAUUUUA